rnacentral:rRNA from 1 species
AUUGAACGCUGGCGGCAGGCCUAACACAUGCAAGUCGAGCGGAUGAAGGGGGCUUGCUCCUGGAUUCAGCGGCGGACGGGUGAGUAAUGCCUAGGAAUCUGCCUGGUAGUGGGGGAUAACGUCCGGAAACGGGCGCUAAUACCGCAUACGUCCUGAGGGAGAAAGUGGGGGAUCUUCGGACCUCACGCUAUCAGAUGAGCCUAGUUCGGAUUAGCUAGUUGGUGGGGUAAAGGCCUACCAAGGCGACGAUCCGUAACUGGUCUGAGAGGAUGAUCAGUCACACUGGAACUGAGACACGGUCCAGACUCCUACGGGAGGCAGCAGUGGGGAAUCUUGGACAAUGGGCGAAAGCCUGAUCCAGCCAUGCCGCGUGUGUGAAGAAGGUCUUCGGAUUGUAAAGCACUUUAAGUUGGGAGGAAGGACAGUAAGUUAAUACCCUGCUGUUUUGACGGUACCAACAGAAUAAGCACCGGCUAACUUCGUG